CGCAUCGCUAAAAGUGUCAAAUUGGCAAAAGUGGACUUGGACCUGAAGGAGGAAGCAGAAACAAAAACAGAAACGUUCUAAAACAAACUUUUGAUGCCCUCCGUGCCGACUGAGUAAAGCGGCGCGUGAGGCUGGAGCGAAUCUUUUCCCUGGCAACUUUUGCAAAUGAGGCAGCCAUUCGGCAAACGCCACAUAAAUAAACUGGGGAUGAGAGGCCUAAUUGAAAUCAGCGUUGCGAGAGUAAGCGAGAAAUACAUAAAUAAUCGGACGGGAUCGCAGCAGCUCUGCCACAAAAUUAGUUCAUUAAAGAAGUUCAGGCGGAAUUUGCAUACGAGCCGGAAAAAGCGAAAACGAAAGCCCCCUGAAAAGCCCCAAAAAUGAAACGCAUAAAAAGCGAAAAAUAAAUGUAAAUUAAAGUAAACAAUGCAAAGAGA